GGCUUCGUAACUCGGCUGGUAGAACACUUGCAGUGUUUUGGCAUGGUGUUUCUGUCGCUGGUUCGAAUCCAGCCGAGGCCC